AGAGUUUGAUCCUGGCUCAGGAUGAACGCUGGCGGCGUGCUUAAUACAUGCAAGUCAUACGGGACUUAUCAAAAGCUUGCUUUUGAAAAAGUCUAGUGGCGAACGGGUGAGUAAUACAUAAGCAACCUGCCUACACGACUGGGAUAACUAUUGGAAACGAUAGCUAAUACCGGAUAGGUAAAAUGAAGGCAUCUUUAUUUUAUUAAAGUUGGGUUUCCAACACGAGUAGAUGGGCUUAUGGUGUAUUAGCUAGUUGGUAAGGUAAUGGCUUACCAAGGCGAUGAUACAUAGCCGGCCUGAGAGGGUGAACGGCCACAUUGGGACUGAGACACGGCCCAAACUCCUACGGGAGGCAGCAGUAAGGAAUUUUCGGCAAUGGGCGAAAGCCUGACCGAGCAACGCCGCGUGAGUGAUGAAGGCCUUUGGGUUGUAAAGCUCUGUUGUAAAGGAAGAACAUGCGAAUGAGGAAAUGCUUUCGUAUUGACGGUACUUUACUAGAAAGUCACGGCUUACUACGUGCCAGCAGCCGCGGUAAUACGUAGGUGGCAAGCGUUAUCCGGAUUUAUUGGGCGUAAAGGGUGCGCAGGCGGUUGGUUAAGUUUGAGGUUAAAGCGUUGGGCUCAACCCAAUAUAGCCUUGAAAACUGGCCAACUAGAGUGCAGAAGAGGGAAACGGAAUUCCAUGUGUAGCGGUAAAAUGCGCAGAUAUAUGGAGGAACACCAGCGGCGAAGGCGGUUUCCUGGUCUGUAACUGACGCUCAUGCACGAAAGCGUGGGGAGCAAAUAGGAUUAGAUACCCUAGUAGUCCACGCCGUAAACGAUGAAUACUAAGUGUUGGAGCAAUUCAGUGCUGUCGUUAACGCAAUAAGUAUUCCGCCUGAGGAGUAUGCACGCAAGUGUGAAACUUAAAGGAAUUGACGGGGACCCGCACAAGCGGUGGAGUAUGUGGUUUAAUUCGACGCAACGCGAAGAACCUUACCAGGCCUUGACAUCCUUGGCAAAGCUAUAGAGAUAUAGUGGAGGACACCCAAGUGACAGGUGGUGCAUGGUUGUCGUCAGCUCGUGUCGUGAGAUGUUGGGUUAAGUCCCGCAACGAGCGCAACCCUUGUUUCUAGUUACCAAUAUUAAGUUAGGGACUCUAGAGAGACUGCCGGUGAUAAACCGGAGGAAGGUGGGGAUGACGUCAAAUCAUCAUGCCCCUUAUGGCCUGGGCUACACACGUACUACAAUGGCGUAUACAACAAGUCGCAAUAUCGCAAGAUGGAGCUAAUCUUUAAAAUACGUCUCAGUUCGGAUUGAAGUCUGCAACUCGACUUCAUGAAGUUGGAAUCGCUAGUAAUCGCGGAUCAGCAUGCCGCGGUGAAUACGUUCUCGGGUCUUGUACACACCGCCCGUCAAACCAUGAGAGUUGGUAAUACCCGAAGCCGGUAGCCUAACCGUAAGGAGGGAGCUGUCGAAGGUAGGACUAAUGAUUGGGGUUAAGUCGUAACAAGGUAUCCCUACGGGAACGUGGGGAUG
rnacentral:rRNA from 1 species